AAUAGAAUUAAAAUUUAAACGCGCGGUCGUUGUUUAGUUACUUAAACAACAAUGACCUUCUCACUGACUUUGAUUGUUAUCGAAUCAGUUUCCUUUUGGACUUCGACGAGUAAAGAUCGGAGCUGUCUCUUUCCAAACAGAACGUCAUCGCAAUCACAUACGAAGCAUUGAUAUAAUCGAUUGUUUGUAUUGCUAAAAUAAAAAUAAGGCGAAGUAGAGGCAGUGUUUGUUCGUUCACGUUUCGCGAUUUAAAUAACAAGUGUUUUUGCAUCGACUGCGUGCAAUGCAGUCGUCAGAGUCAGUGAUCGUUCGUAAAGUUUUAUGCUUUUUUAACAGUCGUACAGACUGUAUUUAUAAAAGACAAUAGUGUUUCGGAAAUAAACUUCAGUGGCCGUCCGUUAAAAGAUAACUAUUACGUAUUAGAGUCAGUGUAUCAUUUAAGAGGAUCUCAAUCUAUAGCGAUGUUGGCCUACCUCAUUUUCAACCACCUACGAAUCAUCCACCCUCAAUUUCGACCUAAAUCGCGGUAGAGUGUUUUGAAACUAUCGCAGAACUUCUUAAAUACAAAAUACCGUUCACUGGGUUCCCACAAGUUAACGGGAGAAUGCAAUUUCUUUCAUGAAUCCUGGAGAGCUCGUGAAGAAGAUGCGUGAUAAAAGGUACUUCGUGAAUUUAUACUUGUAAUUUGAAGUAUUUAGAUACAAAGAUUGCGAUAUUCGUGUUUCGUUAUUAUGUAUCGUUAGUUAUAUUGGUUACCACCAAGUGAGAUAGAAUCAGUGUUGCCAAUAAGACUCAGUUAUCUUACUGCUUUAAGCUUGAAAUGUCUAAGGGUAGGUGCCAACAAAUGGCUCGUUUUAUCCAGGAGUUUA